GGCGGCGUGCUUACCAUGCAAGUCGACGGUGAAGCAGAGCUUGCUCUGUGGAUCAGUGGCGAACGGGUGAGUAACACGUGAGCAAUCUGCCCCUGACUCUGGGAUAAGCGCUGGAAACGGCGUCUAAUACCGGAUACGAGCUGCGACCGCAUGGUCAGUAGCUGGAAAGAAUUUCGGGUCACAGGGAGAUGAGAGCUCGCGGCGCUAUCAGCUUGUUGGUGAGGUAAUGGCUCACCAAGGCGUCGACGGGUAGCCGGCCUGAGAGGGUGACCGGCCACACUGGGACUGAGACACGGCCCAGACUCCUACGGGAGGCAGCAGUGGGGAAUAUUGCACAAUGGGCGAAAGCCUGAUGCAGCAACGCCGCGUGAGGGGAUGACGGCCUUCCGGGUUGUAAACCUCUUUUAGCAGGGAAGAAGCGAAAGUGACGGUACCUGCAGAAAAAGCGCCGGCUAACUACGUGCCAGCAGCCGCGGUAAUACGUAGGGCGCAAGCGUUAUCCGGGAAUUAUUGGGCGUAAAGAGCUCGUAGGCGGUCUGUCGCGUCUGCUGUGAAAACCCGAGGCUCAACCUCGGGCCUGCAGUGGGUACGGGCAGACUAGAGUGCGGUAGGGGAGAUUGGAAUUCCUGGUGUAGCGGUGGAAUGCGCAGAUAUCAGGAGGAACACCGAUGGCGAAGGCAGAUCUCUGGGCCGUGACUGACGCUGAGGAGCGAAAGGGUGGGGAGCAAACAGGCUUAGAUACCCUGGUAGUCCACCCCGUAAACGUUGGGAACUAGUUGUGGGGUCCAUUCCACGGAUUCCGUGACGCAGCUAACGCAUUAAGUUCCCCGCCUGGGGAGUACGGCCGCAAGGCUAAAACUCAAAGGAAUUGACGGGGACCCGCACAAGCGGCGGAGCAUGCGGAUUAAUUCGAUGCAACGCGAAGAACCUUACCAAGGCUUGACAUAUAGAGGAAACGUCUGGAAACAGUCGCCCCGCAAGGUCUCUAUACAGGUGGUGCAUGGUUGUCGUCAGCUCGUGUCGUGGAGAUGUUGGGUUAAGUCCCGCAACGAGCGCAACCCUCGUUCUUUUGUUGCCAGCACGUAAUGGUGGGAACUCAUGGGAUAACUUGCCGGGGUCACCUCGGAGGAAGGUGGGGAUGACGUCAAAUCAUCAUGCCCCUUAUGUCUUGGGCUUCACGCAUGCUACAAUGGCCGGUACAAAGGGCUGCAAUACCGUGAGGUGCAGCGAAUCCCAAAAAGCCGGUCCCAGAUCGGAUUGAGGUCUGUACAACUUGACCUCAUGAAGUCGGAGUCGCUAGUAAUCGCAGAUCAGCAACGCUGCGGUGAAUACGUUCCCGGGUCUUGUACACACCGCCCGUCAAGUCAUGAAAGUCGGUAACACCUGAAGCCGGUGGCCCAACCCUUGUGGAGGGAGCCGUCGAAGGUG
rnacentral:rRNA from 1 species